CAGAAGAUGAGAUUUAUGAGCUGUCGUUGCUGAGGGAACCCCGUAACCCUAAAUCACAGCCUACUUCUCCAACUACUCCUAACAAGCCCGUGGCCCCACUGGACUGGGCCUCCGGUGUCACCACCAAACCAGAUCCCUCUGUGGUCAAUAAACACAUCCGGAAGGUGGUGGAAUCUGUUUUUAGGAAUUAUGACCAUGACCAUGAUGGUUACAUUUCACAGGAAGACUUUGAGAGCAUUGC